rnacentral:rRNA from 1 species
GGGACAUGGCAUAGGACCUCGGUUCUAUUUUGUUGGUUUUCGGAAUCUGAGGUAAUGAUCAAUGGGGACAGGCGGGGGCAUUCGUAUUGCGACGUUAGAGGUGAAAUUCUUGGAUCGUCGCAAGACGGACCGAAGCGAAAGCAUUUGCCAAGUAUGUUCUCGUCGAUCAAGAACGAAAGUUAGAGGUUCGAAGGCGAUCAGAUACCGCCCUAGUUCUAACCAUAAACUAUGCCUGCCAGCGAUCCGCCGAAGUUCCUCCGAUGACUCGGCGGGCAGCUUCCGGGAAACCAGAGCUUUUGGGUUCCGGGGGAAGUAUGGUUGCAAAGCUGAAACUUAAAGGAAUUGACGGAAGGGCACCACCAGGAGUGGAGCCUGCGGCUUAAUUUGACUCAACACGGGAAAACUCACCAGGCCCGGACACCGGAAGGAUUGACAGAUUGAGAGCUCUUUCUUGAUUCGGUGGGUGGUGGUGCAUGGCCGUUCUUAGUUGGUGGAGCGAUUUGUCUGGUUAAUUCCGAUAACGAACGAGACUCUAGCCUACUAACUAGGCGUACCCGGUAUCCACAAUCGUGCUACCGGCGAUCAAAUUUCUUCUUAGAGGGACAGGCGGCUUCUAGCCGCACGAGACUGAGCAAUAACAGGUCUGUGAUGCCCUUAGAUGUCCUGGGCCGCACGCGCGCUACACUGAAGGAAUCAGCGUGUCUUCCCUGUCCGAAAGGACCGGGUAAUCCGCUGAACCUCCUUUGUGCUAGGGAUUGGGGCUUGCAAUUGUUCCCCAUGAACGAGGAAUUCCCAGUAAGCGCGAGUCAUAAGCUCGCGUUGAUAGCCCCCCUGCCCCCCUUUUA